rnacentral:rRNA from 1 species
UACGUAGGGCGCAAGCGUUGUCCGGAAUUAUUGGGCGUAAAGAGCUCGUAGGCGGCUUGUCACGUCGGGUGUGAAAGCCCGGGGCUUAACCCCGGGUCUGCAUUCGAUACGGGCUGGCUAGAGUGUGGUAGGGGAGAUCGGAAUUCCUGGUGUAGCGGUGAAAUGCGCAGAUAUCAGGAGGAACACCGGUGGCGAAGGCGGAUCUCUGGGCAUUAACUGACGCUGAGGAGCGAAAGCAUGGGGAGCGAACAGG